GACGAACGCUGGUGGCGUGCCUAAUACAUGCAAGUAGAACGCUGAAGAGAGGAGCUUACUCUUCUUGGAUGAGUUGCGAACGGGUGAGUAACGCGUAGGUAACCUGCCUUGUAGCGGGGGAUAACUAUUGGAAACGAUAGCUAAUACCGCAUAACAAUGGAUGACACAUGUCAUUUAUUUGAAAGGGGCAAUUGCUCCACUACAAGAUGGACCUGCGUUGUAUUAGCUAGUAGGUGAGGUAAUGGCUCACCUAGGCGACGAUACAUAGCCGACCUGAGAGGGUGAUCGGCCACACUGGGACUGAGACACGGCCCAGACUCCUACGGGAGGCAGCAGUAGGGAAUCUUCGGCAAUGGGGGCAACCCUGACCGAGCAACGCCGCGUGAGUGAAGAAGGUUUUCGGAUCGUAAAGCUCGGUUGUAAGUCAAGAACGGGUGUGAGAGUGGAAAGUUCACACUGUGACGGUAGCUUACCAGAAAGGGACGGCUAACUACGUG
rnacentral:rRNA from 1 species